GACGAACGCUGGCGGCGUGCCUAAUACAUGCAAGUUGAGCGCUGAAGGUUGGUACUUGUACCAACUGGAUGAGCAGCGAACGGGUGAGUAACGCGUGGGGAAUCUGCCUUUGAGCGGGGGACAACAUUUGGAAACGAAUGCUAAUACCGCAUAAAAACUUUAAACACAAGUUUUAAGUUUGAAAGAUGCAAUUGCAUCACUCAAAGAUGAUCCCGCGUUGUAUUAGCUAGUUGGUGAGGUAAAGGCUCACCAAGGCGAUGAUACAUAGCCGACCUGAGAGGGUGAUCGGCCACAUUGGGACUGAGACACGGCCCAAACUCCUACGGGAGGCAGCAGUAGGGAAUCUUCGGCAAUGGACAAAAGUCUGACCGAGCAACGCCGCGUGAGUGAAGAAGGUUUUCGGAUCGUAAAACUCUGUUGGUAGAGAAGAACGUUGGUGAGAGUGGAAAGCUCAUCAAGUGACGGUAACUACCCAGAAAGGGACGGCUAACUACGUG
rnacentral:rRNA from 1 species